ACAUUGACAUCAGCUGGAGGAGAUCUGACGGGAAUCAGGCAUGGCAUGACUGCAGGCUGCGUAGGGGCUAGGCACUCUAUCUGCAGACCCUGGAGCUCAUCGGGAUCAGAGGAUGACUUCCAUCUGUUCUCCACAGACACUGGGGCAGAACAAAGAGGAUGGGGUUAUAAUUCAGCAGGAGAUUCCUUCUUUCUUCCACUGAAUUUUGAGGAGGAAAAUAAAUCAUUUCUACUCCAAGAAGUCCCUCUGCUUCCAGCAGUCUCCUGUGGUUUUUAGUGGCAAUCCUAAAUGUCAGAAGGCAGGGUGAAACCUGUGGUGGAAACUUCAAGCACCAAUGCAUGAGGUGGCAUCAGGUUCAUGAAACUGUGGACCCAGAGAGUAGAGAGGUGGACAGCGCCGAGCCAGGAGGGCAGCCGGGCCUGAGCCUUGGAUGAGCAGGAGCAGAAGACAAGGAAAUGAAGAUCUCACACCAGGGCUCCAACAUCAGGGGGUCUGAGGCCCCUGACUAGAGGAGGAAAAUCAAGAGACUAUGGUGUCUUGCAAGCCAAGUGAAGAAUAUGUGUCGGAGUGGAAGAAGUGCUCAACUGUGCCCAUUGUCAAGACUGAUUGGCCACAAAAGGGUAAGGAAAGACUCAGUACUGGAUUUGGCAGCGUGCAGGUCUAUGAUGACCUUGAGCAGUUUCAAAGGAGUAAUGGGAACAAAAUGAGAUGGGUUUAAGUGAAAAUAGAAGAGAGAAAUGGGAGAAAGUAAGUCUUUGACAGGGUUCUGGUGUGAACAAAAGUCUCCAAUAUUAUUUCUACCCUGAUCAGCUUUUAACUGCAUGUCCCUCAAUAUAUUUCCUUCAAAGAGAAAGGCAUU